CUGGCUUAAAAUAUGACUAUUUUGGAUAUUUUGGUUCAGAGGCUUUGAGACUAAGAAAUAAGCAAUAUAAAUAUGCUUGGACAUGAAAUAAAGGCACAAGAGAAAGUUUGACUUUAAAAAAAUUAUCUUGUUUUUGCAUCUUUUUGGAUAGCGUGUGCAUAUUUCCUUCAAAAUGUUUAUAACCAGAGAUGUGGAGAUUCAAGCUCUCCUCCGUCAUCCUGACCUGUUAGGGUGGAGUUUUUCACAUUUCCUUCAGGGACAUGAGGACAUGGACAGGAGAAUCCUUCAGCUUCUGACUGGUUCAAAUGUAUGUGUGAAACCACUGAGAAGGAUGGACGCCCACAUGACUGAAUCACACAAGGGCAAUCCCAGGGUUACCACUUCUGUUAUUGAAGAGGGGACUUUUAAGACUGCAG